rnacentral:tRNA from 1 species
UCUAGCUUAACAUAUAAUUAAUGUGAAAGAUUGUAAAUUUUUUUAAAGCAUAAAUUGCUAGUUAGGU